GAGUAGGGAGAUCUCUUAGGUAAAUCCGGGGGGUCAAUUCCGAGACGCGAUAACGAGCUGUCAAGGCUUCGGUCUGACGGUGAAGUGGUUGAUGCCAUGCUUCCAGGAAAAGCCUCUAAGCUUCAGGUAACAAGGGACCGUACCCCAAACCGACACAGGUGGUCAGGUAGAGAAUACCAAGGCGCUUGAGAGGACUCGGGUGAAGGAACUAGGCAAAAUGGUACCGUAACUUCGGGAGAAGGUACGCCGCUUGGGGUGAUCGGACUUGCUCCGUGAGCUUCGGGCGGUCGAAGUGACCAGGUGGCUGCGACUGUUUAUUAAAAACACAGCACUCUGCAAACACGAAAGUGGACGUAUAGGGUGUGACGCCUGCCCGGUGCCGGAAGGUUAGUUGAUGGGGUCAGCCGCAAGGCGAAGCUCUUGAUCGAAGCCCCGGUAAACGGCGGCCGUAACAAUAACGGUCCUAAGGUAGCGAAAUUCCUUGUCGGGUAAGUUCCGACCUGCACGAAUGGCGUAACGAUGGCCACACUGUCUCCACCCGAGACUCAGUGAAAUUGAACUCGCUGUGAAGAUGCAGUGUACCCGCGGCUAGACGGAAAGACCCCGUGAACCUUUACUACAGCUUUGCACUGGACUCUGAAUCUGUUUGUGUAGGAUAGGUGGGAGGCUAUGAAGCCGGAACGCUAGUUCUGGUGGAGCCAACCUUGAAAUACCACCCUGACAUAUUUGGGGUUCUAACCCAGGCCCGUUAUCCGGGUCGGGGACAGUGUAUGGUGGGUAGUUUGACUGGGGCGGUCUCCUCCCAAAGAGUAACGGAGGAGCACGAAGGUACCCUCAGCGUGGUCGGAAAUCACGCUUUUGAGUGCAAAGGCAUAAGGGUGCUUGACUGCGAGAGCGACGGCUCGAGCAGGUGCGAAAGCAGGUCUUAGUGAUCCGGUGGUUCUGAAUGGAAGGGCCAUCGCUCAACGGAUAAAAGGUACUCCGGGGAUAACAGGCUGAUACCGCCCAAGAGUUCAUAUCGACGGCGGUGUUUGGCACCUCGAUGUCGGCUCAUCACAUCCUGGGGCUGAAGCCGGUCCCAAGGGUAUGGCUGUUCGCCAUUUAAAGUGGUACGCGAGCUGGGUUUAGAACGUCGUGAGACAGCUCGGUCCCUAUCUGCCGUGGGCGUUGGAGAUUUGAGGAAAGCUGCUCCUAGUACGAGAGGACCGGAGUGGACGAACCUCUGGUGUUCGGGUUGUCACGCCAGUGGCAUUGCCCGGUAGCUACGUUCGGACGGGAUAACCGCUGAAAGCAUCUAAGCGGGAAGCCUCUUCCAAGAUGAGAUCUCCCCGGGGACUCGAUCCCCCUGAAGGGUUGUUCAGACCAGGACGUUGAUAGGUGGGGUGUGUAAGCGCUGUGAGGCGUUGAGCUAACCCAUACUAAUUGCC
rnacentral:rRNA from 1 species